rnacentral:misc_RNA from 1 species
GCUGCGUUGAUUGCGUUCAGUCGCCUACCAGGGGAUUGCGUGGUUCGAUGACGACUGACAACGGGGAGGUGCUUGAACAGAUGGAGUGAUGGGUUUUUAGCUGUCCCGAAGAAGAGUCAUUGCCUGUGUCAAGCUGCGUUGAUUGCGUUCAGUCGCCUACCAGGGGAUUGCGUGGUUUGAUGACGAGUGACAACAGCGAGGGCGAAGGUAAGGCACUCCGAGCUCCUGUUUUCAGCAUGCGUGUCUGGCGGGGCAUGCCCGGGGGUGCAGAUCAUCGUUUUGCAGCCCGCGAUAUUCGUGGAAUGUCGAGCGACGGCUUGUGCUCCGGGGCAUCGCGUACGUGGUGAUGCGUGAGUGGUGAUUGGCGCGUGUCGGCAUGUCGGAUCCCUGCUCGAGCAGCGACGACAUCCCGACCUCGCCCCUUCAAUCGUUGGCACAAGUGCGCAAGCGCCUUGUCCUUCGUCGUCUUCCUGUGUUCUAUACCCAUCACGGUGGCAUCUCGCCGGCAAGAUUGUCCCAUUUUCGCCCCUCGCUGACGCACCACUAGGUGUUGCGGCGCGGGGUGAAACCCAAAGCAAACGUCUUGCUCCCCUCUCGCGCACCGCUGUAGGGGCGAUCGGGUUGUGGGCCCAGGACGUAAUGCUCGAUCUCUCGGAUGCAGAACAUCGAGUGGGCACGAGGCGUUGUUCUCUAUUUGCCCUACGAAGAAAGGCGUUUCCUCGCUACGUGCGAACGACGGUCGUCUCGAUUGUGAUCGUUUCCUCGUGGAUUGGGUCAUGUCGAGCAGACGUCGAUGAGGAA